AAAUAUAAACAUUUACGUACUAAAUUUAUUUUCGAUUAAAUCUACAGAGACACUCUAAAGAACCUUAUCACUGACGAUGUUAACCGACCUAUUUUAAGAGCCCGAUUUCAGCUUAACAUUGGUAACAAUGUACGACAACUAAAAUUGUACACAUAUUCACGAAGUUGACAAACGUCAUUUAGGAUUUUUUGUACCAAAUAUUUGAAAAAGUUUUGUAAAGUUUGUUCUUCAAGUGUUUUGUUAAUCAUGUUUUCAAGUGCUUUUCACAUACUUCGCUGUCGCGAUAAAUAAUUUGUGAGAAGGUUCCAAGCUCACUUUGAGUCUGCACUUUGUUCUCGACGUUCGAUUGGAUAAUAAACUUCUUUAACAAAUGGCUCCACAUACGGGUACAGCUACUCCAGAACAAAUUGACGUACUUCUCAAUUUCUUGGACGAGCAUAGGGAUCUUGCUCGUGGAAGAUUGAGGGGUGCCGAUGGCAAUGUCCAAGCUAAGAGUCUGUGAGAAGAAAAACAAUCCAGCAGUGGCAAAAACCUCACAACCUGCACGAUCUAGAAGGAGACAAUCGGCUACUGGCUCAGAUGUCAGGAGGAGAUUGUUUCAAUUGGAAGAAGAGCGUGCAGGCAGAGAGACAGCUUUGAACACUGAGCUUGCAGGCAUCAGGGUUGCCCUGGAAGAGCUGUGUGGACUG